rnacentral:rRNA from 1 species
AGCGAACGCUGGCGGCAGGCUUAACACAUGCAAGUCGAGCGGGCCCUUCGGGGUCAGCGGCGGACGGGUGAGUAACGCGUGGGAACGUGCCUUCUGGUCUGGAAUAACCCUGGGAAACUAGGGCUAAUACCGGAUACGCCCUUUUGGGGAAAGGUUUACUGCCGGAAGAUCGGCCCGCGUCUGAUUAGCUAGUUGGUGGGGUAACGGCCUACCAAGGCGACGAUCAGUAGCUGGUCUGAGAGGAUGAUCAGCCACACUGGGACUGAGACACGGCCCAGACUCCUACGGGAGGUAGCAGUGGGGAAUAUUGGACAAUGGGCGCAAGCCUGAUCCAGCCAUGCCGCGUGAGUGAUGAAGGCCUUAGGGUUGUAAAGCUCUUUUAUCCGGGACGAUAAUGACGGUACCGGAGGAAUAAGCCCCGGCUAACUUCGUG